UGUCCGUGUAACACCCGUUAUUGUACUGUUUUUCUAUAGCUCUGCUGGGGGCAAAGUCGUACAAAUAAUUUGAAGCCAUUGAAUUAUGCAACGUGUUGUUUACUGUUAAGUUAUAUAAGUGCUUUAUAUAACUCAAAUUUAUGUAAACGAAAAAGUAGUUGGAGGCUGGUGUCUAUAACUUUGUGUCGUCGUCUUUUUGGUGGACAGGUUCCUCCUGCUGCAUACUGGAUAAUGGUAGAAGAAGAGAUAAUGCUUAAAACAUAAGGAUCAUAAAUAUAACUUAGGAUUAUCAUAAGACCAUCCUGAUUAGGAAUAUCUUAGCUUAGAUUAAGUCUUGGAAGUUUCCUAGUAAGAUGGUCCCAUGCAUGAUAGUCCUUAAAUCUAUCAUAAUAAUUGUGACGACGUCUGACAAAAAGGGCCCAAAUGCGGCAAAACGUAAUUUUGACUAUGACGUUGCAAAGUUAACGUUGGCGAGCACCUGCAAAAAUUAUUGUUCGCUGCCUAAAACAAUAUUAUUUCACUAAUGUUAUCAAAUGUACAGCUUACCAUGUGUGCGUAUUUCGUAAUUGUCUUUUUUUAUCAAAAUCCGCAACAUUUAUUUUAGCACGAUACCGUAUAUUAGUCUGUUCAAUGUUAUAAGUUACUUCCCUAACCGAAAACGAAAGUUGACAAAGUGAAAGAGUCUGAAGCUAGUUUUGUUUCAUUUUGCUAAAGUAUCCCAUCGGCAUCGGAACUAUUAAACAGAUAAACAUUAUGAGAGUUUAUUGAGGAUUACGGAUUGUUGAUGAAAUAUAUUUUGCCCAGAUAGAAAGUUCUCAACGUGAUAAUCUAAACGAUGAUGUUGGCGCUGUUUAAAACAUGUGAAUCUGAUGACGUCGUGUCAAUGCAGGAUGGUAUUUUUAUACAAACAAAUGGAGAAAAUCGGGAAUGUAUGAAAUAUAUGCCGUAGAAGUGAAAUACAAAAGUGUUGGUUUACGCUCUUUCUUACAUGUCUAAAGAUUUUCAAAAAUUGUGGUGUCAGAACCAUGGACUGACAACCUGAUUUACCUGAUAAAUACAGUACACAUGGACAUGUUCAGCUAGCAACAGAAAAAAGGGACUAAUGCUCUUCUAGCAAAGAAAACUUUACCAAACUCCAAGGUGACAGCCAAGAUACAGAUAUUAUAGGAUGCCAUAUUCAAUGCCAACGAACUCCCUCAAAGAAGAAAAAUUGGCAAUCGGUAUCUUAAAAGUACAAGGAGCAUUCAAUAAACAUCACGUAGCACUGCGCAAAGCACAAAAAUGCUUAAAUAUCACUGACUUAGAAAUUAUUGGUGUAAGACAUCCGGACCAUGUAUCCGACAAAAUAGACGGCCUUUUAAUUCCUGUUGGUGAAAGUACAACCAUUAGCUUAUUUCUGAAACGUAAUAAAAUGGACGAACCAUUGCGGAAGUAGAUUGAUACGAAAAGUCACGUGACCUGGGGGACAUGUGCUGGAAUGAUACUGUUAUCGAAGCAGACAGAAAAUCAGAAAAUCGGCGGACAACCUUCGGUAUAACGAUAAGUAAAGCCACUUGUACUUUAUAUUACAGUAUUAAUUCUCACCAACCUGGUGCUAACUCUUGAAUAAUGUUGUCAGAAUAAGUGAACAUUUUCUGUAAGGUUCACCAAAAAA